GGACUCAGAGAACCCAUUUUGCCUGCCUCACAGCACUGCUGGGAAACAAGAAACGCCCGUAAAAAUGCUCUAAAAUACUGCACACCUGGAAAUGAGUUCUUUUCUCCUCUGUGGGGAGUUGAGAUAGUGUUCAGACUGCAGGGGAAGAGGAGAGGUCCGGAGACAGGUGUGGGAAUGGAGCAAUAAUGGAUGGAUGAAGAAUGCCUGCCUUCCUCUCGUGAAGGGUCAUCAUCUUAUCACUUUUGCAAAACAGGAGCUGACAGCCUCUGAAAUAAAGGAACCUGUUUCACUCCGUCUGAUCUGCUAUCUCCCAUCUUUGUUGAACACACGGCAUCCUUCCUGCCACACUCAGAAGCAAGGUUGACUCUACACACUUAAGUUACGAAGUGACAGUGAAUCACUGACCACUUCCCCCAUCCACCCCACUGAAUUGAGAGUUGGAGUGAAGUGACCCAUUCAACCUGCUGUGUUGGCACAGAGCACAACCAUAACCCAAUGGGCUUGGCCGCUGGGCCCAGGGAGAUCUGAGUUCCCGCCCUCUCUGGGUAUAAACACUGUGCCUAGGGUCGGAUGACUCUGCACCUCUCCACAGAGCAGGUCCUCCCUGCCAGGGUGAGACCCACAGGCCUAAUGCUGGGACUGGAGGAUCAAAGGAAACACUGAGCAGUGGGGACAAUACUUGCUCUGGAAUCAGGUGACAUUUAGUCCCGGCCAUGCCACUGACUAUCACUGAGACCUCAGACACGGAACUUAAUUUCU